CCUACGGGAGGCUGCAGUGGGGAAUAUUGGACAAUGGGGGGAACCCUGAUCCAGCCAUGCCGCGUGUGUGAAGAAGGCCCUCGGGUUGUAAAGCACUUUCAGUGGGGAAGAACGCCUGGUGGUUAAUACCCAUCAGGAAAGACAUCACUCACAGAAGAAGCACCGGCUAACUCCGUGCCAGCAGCCGCGGUAAUACGGAGGGUGCGAGCGUUAAUCGGAAUUACUGGGCGUAAAGCGCGCGUAGGUGGCUUGAUAAGCCGGUUGUGAAAGCCCCGGGCUCAACCUGGGAACGGCAUCCGGAACUGUCAAGCUAGAGUGCAGGAGAGGAAGGUAGAAUUCCCGGUGUAGCGGUGAAAUGCGUAGAGAUCGGGAGGAAUACCAGUGGCGAAGGCGGCCUUCUGGACUGACACUGACACUGAGGUGCGAAAGCGUGGGUAGCAAACAGGAUUAGAUACCCCAGUAGUC
rnacentral:rRNA from 1 species